AAAACGGAAUUUUCUCUCAGCAACCGCCACUAUCUGUACAGAAAUUAAUCAAACUCGCGAGUUUGUUUUCCGUCCAUGAGUCAUUCAAAUCUCUGGUCGAUUUUCAUUCGAGACCGAGACAUUCGAGAGCAAGUCGUCGAUCAAGAAGCAUCGUUCGCGCGAUUCAAAUCAAAAUCAAAAGUGAUAAAAGUGCCUUGAACUUUCAAAAAGUGAUAGUGAUGGCGGGGAAUUCAGGCAUGGAACAGCUGAUCCCGGUGGUAAACAAACUCCAAGAUGCGUUUACUCAACUGGGAGUGCACUUAAGCCUCGAUUUACCACAGAUCGCGGUGGUGGGGGGACAAUCAGCUGGGAAGAGUUCCGUUUUGGAGAAUUUUGUAGGAAGAGACUUUUUACCGAGAGGAGCUGGUAUUGUUACCAGGCGGCCGUUAAUUCUACAACUGAUCAACUCAAAAUUUGAGUAUGGGGAAUUUUUGCACAAGAAGGGCAACAAAUAUAGCGAUUUUGAUGAGAUCAGAAAGGAAAUUGAAGCGGAGACAGAUCGAGUUACUGGUAGUAACAAGGGCAUCUCCACCAUACCCAUCAAUCUCAAAAUAUAUUCACCUCAUGUUCUUAACCUGACUCUGAUAGAUCUGCCGGGUAUGACCAAGGUGCCCAUAGGAGACCAACCCGUUGACAUCGAACAGCAGAUAAGGAACAUGAUUAUGCAGUUCAUCAAUAGAGAUUCCUGCCUUAUCUUGGCGGUCACGCCAGCAAACACAGAUCUGGCCAACUCGGAUGCUUUACAGAUCGCCAGAGAAGUGGAUCCUCAAGGAUAUCGCACCAUAGGUGUCAUAACCAAAUUAGAUAUAAUGGACGAAGGGACGGAUGCUAAGUAUAUUCUUGAGAACAAACUGUUGCCCUUAAGAAGAGGUUAUGUAGGUGUCAUAAACCGUUCACAAAGAGAUAUUGAUGGACAAAAGGAUAUAAAAUUAGCGCUGGAAGCUGAAAGAAAAUAUUUCUUGGGGCAUCCGUCCUAUACACAUAUAGCCGACAAAUUGGGUACUCCAUACCUACAAAAAGUGUUAAACGAGCAACUAACCAAUCACAUACGAAAUACUCUUCCUUCUUUACGAGAUAAUUUACAGAAACAGGUGAUUAUUCUGGAAAAGGAGCUUGGCGAUUUCAAGAACUUCUCUCCUGAUGAUCCAAGUAUGAAAUCAAAGGCUAUGCUUCAGAUGAUCCAGCAGUUCGCUCUAAGUUUCGAAAAAGUUCUCGAAGGCUCCAGAUCGGACGAUGUGAACACAACUGAGCUGUCGGGAGGCGCUAGAAUCAACUGUGUCUUUCACGAAAGAUUCCCGUUUGAAGUUGUCAAAAUGGAGUUCGACGAAAGCGAGCUGAGAAAGGAAAUAGCAAUCGCCAUUGCGAACAUUCAUGGAAUUAGGAUAGGUCUUUUUACGCCUGAUUUAGCAUUUGAUGCCAUAGUAAAAAAGCAAAUCUCUAGAUUGAAAGACCCUUGCUUGAAGUGUGUGGAUCUAGUCUCAACCGAGUUGUUGAAUGUUGUACACAACUGCUCAGAACAGAUGUCGAGGUUUCCGAGAUUAAGAGAAAUCGUUGAACGAGUUAUAACGAAUCACGUGAGAAAAAGAGAGCAAGAAUGUAGGGAUCAACUAUCGGUAUACAUUAACUGCCAACUUUCUUAUAUGAAUACAAAUCAUGAAGACUUUAUAGGAUUUGCCAAUGCUGAAUCACAAGCCAAGAAGACCAUACCUACCCACAACAAUCAUUUAGGCAACCAAGUGAUCCGAAAGGGGUACAUGACGCUGCAUAAUCUCAGUAUAAUUAAGGGUAGGAGCUUCUGGUACGUGUUGUCCUCGGAUAGUUUAGCUUGGUACCGAGACGAGACUGAAAAGGAGAUCCAGUACAUCCUACCCCUCAAUAAAUUGAAGUUAAGGGAUGUUGAGACUGGGUUUAUAAAUCGGAAACCGACUUUUGCGUUGUUCUACCCGCAUGGUUCUAAUGUUUAUAAGGAUUAUAAACAGCUAGAACUGAGCUGUAACUCUGUGGACGACAUGGAUUCCUGGAAAGCUUCUUUUUUGAGAGCGGGUGUCUAUCCUCAGAAACUUUUGAAUAACAACGAAGAAUCUGAUGACGAAAGUAUCGAUAUUCAAGAAGAUGUAGACCCUCAGCUUAAAAGACAAGUUGAAGUGAUAAGGAAUCUAGUAGAGAGCUACAUGUCUAUAGUAACCAAGGCCACCAAAGACUUAGUACCAAAGAUUAUUACACAUAUGAUCAUUAAGAACACCAAAAAGUAUGUUUUUGAAGAACUUCUAGUCAGCGUAUAUGCCCAAGAUGACCAGGUUGAAUUGUUAGAAGAAUCUCCAGAGGAAGUAAGGAAGCGAGAAGAGAAGAUGGCGACGUUCCAAGCAUGUAGAAUGGCUUUGGAUAUCAUAGGAGACUGUUCAAUGAAAUUUUCCGGUAGCGCUACCAGUACAGAAGAAGAAGCGGUUCAUUACAAACCAGCAGUGCCUAACAGGCCCACCGCCACCACCAAAAAAAGUUACAGACUGUCUACGCCCCCUCCAGUGUUCUCCAGGCCCGCCCCACCACCUCCUCCAGUUUAAUGCUCGCACAAUGUUCCAACUCUUCCAGUACAUAGAUUUUACUGCAUCAAUUAGUUCUACUCCAACAUCGAACUGUUCAAGCGCUUUCCAAAUGUGAUGUCUGGGUACCUUGUCAAAGGCUUUUUCCAUGUCUAUGAAACACAUAGCUUUAAGGCAUGCGUGCAGUGUCCUCGUGGCUUGUGCUUGUCUAGUGGUGCUUGAUCGUUGAAAUCUUGAUCUUAAUUCUCGUAAUAUUAAUAUUUCUGUAUUAAUAUUUUCAGGAAUUGUAAGCAGUAUUAUAUUUUUGAAUUCCGAUAAAAAAGAUUGAUAAAAUAUUGCCCAAGAGAUGUUACCAUAGUUUUGUAUGAUAUUUAAAAUGUACAAGUCAAUAUUUUUAUAAUAUUUAUAUGUAUCUAUUAUUUUUUGUAUAUUUAUCGAUAUUACUAAUAAAUUUGUAUACUUUG